UACGGGGGGAGCAAGCGUUGUUCGGAUUUACUGGGCGUAAAGGGCGCGUAGGCGGCCUCCGCAAGUCAGUUGUGAAAUCUCCGAGCUUAACUCGGAAAGGUCAACUGAUACUGCGGGGCUAGAGUGCGGAAGGGGCAACUGGAAUUCUUGGUGUAGCGGUGAAAUGCGUAGAUAUCUGAAGGAAUACCGGUGGCGAAGGCGGCAUCCUGGACCGGCAUUGACGCUGAGGAGCGAAAGCCAGGGGAGCAAACGGG
rnacentral:rRNA from 1 species